AGCUGUGGUUCGGGCUCCACAGUCCGGGCAAAUGGGACAGACGCGGCCGAGGAUCUGGUUCUCACUCGAUUGCGGAGUCUGCCUCGGGCUCUGGAUCGCCUAAGGACAAGCAAAGGCUAACCUGACAGGGAUGGUUGACAGGGCUGCAUGUACCCCAACCCCUGAAGAGAAUAUACCCUGAUGAAGGAAAAGGAAACUUGUGAGAAACCUGGUGGACUCCACCUGAACCACAGGACAAGCUGGCAUCAUGUCCCUCCUGGUGCACAGGCUAAGAAGGACGCAACAUCACUCUGCCAUCACAAAAUAUACUUAGCUGAGUCCUACCCUAAGGGUAAAGUCAGAUAAGUGCAAAUCCAAGUGGUCCUCUUUCCUAAGAUGGCUCCUUGCUGUCUGGAUGAGGCUGCCCUGGAAAUCCUGGACUCUAGUGACCCUCCUGACAUGAUCUGAAGGCCCAGAGCACUAGUCCUCCAAGAUCCUGCUAAGAGACUCAAGAGACUAAUAUAAGGUCUUCACUGGGGAAUCUCUACCACUGUAAGUGUCAAUUUAUAUCACACCCAAACUUAUAGUGAA